rnacentral:sRNA from 1 species
GAUUCAAUGGAUGCGUAUUUGCGGACCGCGAUAUCCGGGCAGGUCGCAAGGUCUGCAACAGCAUCCGAGCUUAAAGGUCGGGGAUUAUCCAUGAAGGCGGGGAUUGCGCCGUACCUUGAAAAGGCCUCUCUUGCACUCCACUUUCAUGUA